CAGCAUCUGGAGAAUGAAUAUCCAGGAUCAAAUAUAUUGUUUGUAACGGUAACAGCUGAUGAGUCAAGGAGAAUAGAGCAAUUGCCUGAUGAAGCAAUUGAAGCAGAGAUAAUGGUAAUACUUAAAAAGUUGUUUGGGGAUAACAUUCCAAAACCAGAAUCCAUUCUCGUACCUAGAUGGGGCUUGGACAGGUUCUACAAGGGCAGCUAUUCUAAUUGGCCUGAUAGCUACAGUCAAAAACGCAAAGACCAAUUGGCGGAUCCUGUUGGUCCUGUAUACUUCACAGGGGAGCACACCAGCAAUAAUUAUAUAGGAUAUGCUACUGGUGCUUAUUUUGCAGGUAUCGACACUGCAAAUGAUUUAAUCGAGUGCUUCAAGAAAAAAUCUUGCAGGGGCUAUAAUAGAAACAGAUGGCAUUAAGAUGGGAAUGCUAGCCCCUGGCCAGCAUCCGAAGGUUCAAAUAUGAGAAAAGCAACUGCAAAGAGUUGCUUUCCAACCCAUAACAACAUUGAAGUCGUCUCUUGCACAAUGUCCUAUCUACUUUGUGUUUUAUUUGAUCCCAUUAUUAGUAUGUAUGAGAACUUUAUUUUCCAGUCCGAAAUUGUAUGUACC
rnacentral:misc_RNA from 1 species